CCUACGGGAGGCAGCAGUGAGGAAUAUUGGUCAAUGGGAGAGAUCCUGAACCAGCCAAGCCGCGUGAGGGAAGACGGCCCUAUGGGUUGUAAACCUCUUUUGUCGGGGAACAAAACCCGGGACGUGUCCCGGACUGCGUGUAUCCGAAGAAAAAGCAUCGGAUAACUCCGUGCCAGCAGCCGCGGUAAUACGGAGGAUGCGAGCGUUAUCCGGAUUUAUUGGGUUUAAAGGGUGCGUAGGCGGUCCGUUAAGUCAGCGGUAAAAUUGCGGGGCUCAACCCCGUCGAGCCGUUGAAACUGGCAGACUUGAGUUGGCGAGAAGUACGCGGAAUGCGCGGUGUAGCGGUGACAUGCAUAGAUAUCGCGCAGAACUCCGAUUGCGAAGGCAGCGUACCGGCGCCAGACUGACGCUGAGGCACGAAAGCGUGGGGAGCGAACAGGAUUAGAUACCCCAGUAGUC
rnacentral:rRNA from 1 species